UUGAUUUUCAGUGGGGCUUUAA
rnacentral:siRNA from 1 species